rnacentral:rRNA from 1 species
CCUACGGGGUGCAGCAGUGAGGAAUAUUGGUCAAUGGACGGAAGUCUGAACCAGCCAUGCCGCGUGCAGGAAGACGGCUCUAUGAGUUGUAAACUGCUUUUGUACAAGGGUAAACCUGAAUACGUGUAUUCAGCUGAAAGUACUUUACGAAUAAGGAUCGGCUAACUCCGUGCCAGCAGCCGCGGUAAUACGGAGGAUCCAAGCGUUAUCCGGAUUUAUUGGGGUUAAAGGGUGCGUAGGCGGAUUGAUAAGUUAGAGGUGAAAUGCCCGAGCUUAACUCGGGAACUGCCUCUAAUACUGUUGGUCUAGAGAGUAGAUGCGGUAGGCGGAAUGUAUGGUGUAGCGGUGAAAUGCUUAGAGAUCAUACAGAACACCGAUUGCGAAGGCAGCUUACCAAGCUAUAUCUGACGUUGAGGCACGAAAGCGUGGGGAGCAAACAGGAUUAGAUACCCUUGUAGUC